UCAAAUAACUUUGCACUGAUGAGGCCUAAUGAUCCGAAACUUUCACAAUCAGUAGUCACUAUACCAAGCUAGCUCUCCUAUAAAUUUUGCUGUUCUAGCUUAAUUAGCUUUUGAGUUAUUUAAUCUUAAACUUCAAAAAGUAAAAUUAAUAAAUUAUUAAGAAAGUAUAGGUGCCUCGACUGCCUUGGCUCAAAUAACUUUUUACUGAUGAGGCCUAAUGAUCCGAAACUUUCACAAUCAGUAGUCACUAUACCAAGCUAGCUCUCCUAUAAAUUUCGCUGUUCUAGCUUAAUUAGCUUUUGAGUUAUUUAAUCUUAAACUUCAAAAAGUAAAAUUAAUAAAUUAUUAAGAAAGUAUAGGUGCCUCGACUGCCUUGGCUCAAAUAACUUUUUACUGAUGAGGCCUAAUGAUCCGAAACUUUCACAAUCAGUAGUCACUAUACCAAGCUAGCUCUCCUAUAAAUUUCGCUGUUCUAGCUUAAUUAGCUUUUGAGUUAUUUAAUCUUAAACUUCAAAAAGUAAAAUUAAUAAAUUAUUAAGAAAGUAUAGGUGCCUCGACUGCCUUGGCUCAAAUAACUUUUUACUGAUGAGGCCUAAUGAUCCGAAACUUUCACAAUCAGUAGUCACUAUACCAAGCUAGCUCUCCUAUAAAUUUCGCUGUUCUAGCUUAAUUAGCUUUUGAGUUAUUUAAUCUUAAACUUCAAAAAGUAAAAUUAAUAAAUUAUUAAGAAAGUAUAGGUGCCUCGACUGCCUUGGCUCAAAUAACUUUUUACUGAUGAGGCCUAAUGAUCCGAAACUUUCACAAUCAGUAGUCACUAUACCAAGCUAGCUCUCCUAUAAAUUUCGCUGUUCUAGCUUAAUUAGCUUUUGAGUUAUUUAAUCUUAAACUUCAAAAAGUAAAAUUAAUAAAUUAUUAAGAAAGUAUAGGUGCCUCGACUGCCUUGGCUCAAAUAACUUUGCACUGAUGAAGCCUAAUGAUCCGAAACUUUUACAAUCAGUAGUCAAUAUACCAAGCUAGCUCUCCUAUAAAU